UACGGAGGGUGCAAGCGUUAAUCGGAAUUACUGGGCGUAAAGCGCGCGUAGGCGGUUUGAUAAGCGGAGUGUGAAAUCCCCGGGCUUAACCUGGGAACUGCAUUCCGAACUGUCGAGCUAGAGUAUGAGAGAGGGUGGCGGAAUUCCGAGUGUAGCGGUGAAAUGCGUAGAUAUUCGGAGGAACACCAGUGGCGAAGGCGGCCACCUGGAUCAAUACUGACGCUGAGGCGCGAAAGCGUGGGUAGCAAACAGG
rnacentral:rRNA from 2 species